rnacentral:lncRNA from 13 species
UUGGAAUAGAAUACAUAUCUGGAAUGUCUAAGGGAGCCGUGAGGACUGGGUUGGAAUAGAAUUACAUAUCUGGUAUGUCUAAGGGAGCCGUGAGGACUGGGUUUGAAUAGAAUACAUAUCUGGAAUGUCUAAGGGAGCCGUGAGGAAUGAGUUUGAAUAGAAUACAUAUCUGGAAUGUCUAAGGGAGCCGUGAGGACUGGGUUUGAUUAGAAUACAUAUCUGGAAUGUCUAAGGGAGCCGUGAGGACUGGGUUUGAAUAGAAUACAUAUCUGGAAUGUCUAAGGGAGCCGUGAGGACUGGACUUUCAGAACUAGAUUCCUAUGUUUUUUAGGACCAGAUUUCCUGGUGUGUUUCUGUGUGGAGGAGACAGGAAGGGGCAGGAAAGACAGACUACUGUUGUCUAACGAACACUCUCCACACAGAAACAUCUGACUCUACACUCUCCACACAGAAACAUCUGACUCUACUUCCUCUUCUGGCCAACAGAUGGGGCAAAAGAAUACCCACAAUACACCCUCUGUAACAGACACACCCUCUGUAACAGACACACCCUCUGUAACAGACACACCCUCUGCCUCUGUAACAGACACACCCUCUGCCUCUGUAACAGACACACCCUCUGCCUCUGUAACAGACACACCCUCUGCCUCUGUAACAGACACACCCUCUGUAACAGACACACCCUCUGUAACAGACACACCCUCUGCCUCUGUAACAGACACACCCUCUGCCUCUGUAACAGACACACCCUCUGCCUCUGUAACAGACACACCCUCUGCCUCUGUAACAGACACCCUCUGUAACAGACACACCCUCUGCCUCAGUAACAGACACACCCUCNNNNNNNNNNNNNNNNNNNNNNNNNNNNNNNNAGAGAGAGAGAGAGAGAGACAGACAGAGACAGGGAGACAGAGAGAGAGAGCAGAGGAAGAGCAGCUAAAGGAAAGGCAGAUGUAUGAAUACAGACUUGUAGAAAUGGGCCAGAGGGUGCAGCAUUAUUGUAGAGUAGGAGUGUAUAAAUACAGUGCGUGGUAUGGUUGAUUCAUUAGGACUACAGCCUAUAUUUAACUGAAAGUUGGCAGAGACUACUGGUCAGUCUCCACACACACUCCCACUUUCAUUCUCUCAGCAGUGGGAUAGUGUGUGUGUGUGUGUGUGUGUGUGUGUGUGUGUGUGUGUGUGUGUGUGUGUGUGUGAGGUCUUACUCUGUGACUCUGCCCAGGGUGUAUCUCCAUGGUAACGGAGGGCUCUAUGACAGAGCAAGGCCUGGCCAGACCGCCUGUCCGUCUCUGCCCCGGAGAGAGGUGCAUCAUGGGACCAGGCCUGCGUCUGUGCCGGCACAGAGAGCCCCCCUUGGCCUGCUGGGUAACGGCAAACACACAGCCCUCUGGGAAGGGACUGCAGACUCGGAGGUCGACCAGGGCUGAGGAGGGACGGGGGCGAGGGUGGGGGGGCUUGGGAGGGUCAGGGGUCUUCACUGGACAAGAACAGGACUGGACUGACUUGGGUCUCUUCAAAACACUGCCUGAUAGAGCUCCCUAAUCAAUCAAUCAAUUAAUUAAUCAAUAAAUCCAUCAAUUGAGCAAUCAAUCAAUCCAUCAAUCUGGUUAUAUAAAACAUUUCCAUCUAACUCCAUACACAACCCUGAUUUCCAUAGUUAGUUUCCAUUUUAUUUUCCUUAGAGGAGAAUCCACUGUUAGACCAAGCCCAGUACUACUCUACAGGAGAAUCCACUGUUAGACCAAGCCCAGUACUACUCUACAGGAGAAUCCACUGUUAGACCAAGCCCAGUACUACUCUACAGGAGAAUCCACUGUUACACCAAGCCCAGUACUACUCUACAGGAGAAUCCACUGUUACACCAAGCCCAAUAUUACUCUACAGGAGAAUCCACUGUUAGACAAAGCCCAGUGCAGUACAGGAGGGACUGACAUGUCCUGACUUGCUGUGAGAGAGACCAGAGGGGAGAUCAGAUGAGUAAUCUGAACACGGUGUGGAGGGAUGGAGGCGUGUGUGUAGCUGCAGUUAGAGUGUGGGCAGUCUCACACACACACACACACUGUUUUCCGUUGCACAUAUUUGCACUACGACUCCUGAUUUUACUAACGGACGACUGGAGAAUGAGUUGACCAGCUGAUCCAGGUGCUCUGGAGCUGGAAUAGAAUUACAUAUCUGGAAUGUCUAAGGGAGCCGUGAGGACUGGGUUUGAUUAGAAUACAUAUCUGUAAUGUCUAAGGGAGCCGUGAGGACUGGGUUUGAAUAGAAUACAUAUCUGGAAUGUCUAAGGGAGCCGUGAGGAAUGAGUUUGAAUAGAAUACAUAUCUGUAAUGUCUAAGGGAGCCGUGAGGAAUGGGUUGGAAUAGAAUACAUAUCUGGAAUGUCUAAGGGAGCCGUGAGGACUGGGUUGGAAUAGAAUUACAUAUCUGGUAUGUCUAAGGGAGCCGUGAGGACUGGGUUUGAAUAGAAUACAUAUCUGGAAUGUCUAAGGGAG